AUUGCAAAAUUCUGGUGGGGUGAUGAUGAAGAAAAAAAUAAAAUGCAUUGGUAUGCUUGGUGGAAGUUAUGUGUGCCCAAGAAAAUGGGUGGAAUGGGAUUUCUGGAUAUGUACUCUUUCAAUCUAGCAAUGUUAGCAAAACAAAGUUGGAGACUAAUUACGUGUCCGGAAUCUCUUUGUGCUCGUGUACUCAGGGCUAAAUACUAUCCAGAUGGAGACUUAUUAAAAGCUGGACCGAAAAAGGGAGCAUCGUUCACAUGGCAAAGCAUUAUUGCUGGAUUGCAAACCUUUAAGAGAGGAUUUAUAUGGAGGAUUGGUGAUGGCCAAAAAGUUAAUAUAUGGGAGGACCCUUGGGUUCCU
rnacentral:rRNA from 1 species